rnacentral:rRNA from 1 species
UAGUGAUAGCUGGUUGUUCAGGAAAAGAGUUUUAGCUCUGCCUUAAGUUUUUUUAUUUCGCCAAACAAGCCCCUAAACUUAAGAGUUAUUCAAAUUAGGCACAGCUUAUUUGAAACAGGAUACAACCUCCACCACCGGGUAAAUAAAGGUGACCAAAACUAAGUGGGCCUAAAAGCAGCCACCUUCCAAAAAGCGUCAAAGCUUACCUACUUCAACCAAUAAUUCCUAAAAUAACCUCCAACCCUUCAUUCCUACUGACCCCUUUUAUAUUAUUAUAAAAAUAACUAUGCUAGAACUAGUAACAAGAAGUUGCCCUUCUCCAUAAUGUAACCAUAAACCAAAACGGACCAUCCAUUGGUAGUUAACGUAAAUGCAAAAUCCAUAAUAACACAACCAGAAAACCUUAUGGCUCCCCACGUUACCCUAACACAAGAACAUUACCGGAAAGAUUAAAAGAGAAAGAAGGAACUCGGCAAAUUUUAACCCCGCCUGUUUACCAAAAACAUCGCCUCUUGAUUAAUCAUAAGAGGUCCAGCCUGCCCAGUGACAAAAUUUAACGGCCGCGGUACACUAACCGUGCGAAGGUAGCAUAAUCACUUGUUCCCUAAAUAGGGACUAGUAUCAACGGCAUCACGAGGGUUAUACUGUCUCCUCUCUCCAAUCAGUGAAACUGAUCCCCCCGUGAAGAAGCGGGGAUUCUACCAUAAGACGAGAAGACCCCAUGGAGCUUUAAACCCAACAUUCACCCCCCACCCAAACACCAACUUAACCUAGAGGGCCUGUAUGUUGGUUUUAGGCUGGGGGGGCCACGGAGUAAAAUUAAACCUCCAUAACAAAUGGGCUAACACCCUUAUCUGCGAUUUCACAAAUCUAGGAAUUACUAAAAUAAUGUCUAAUGACCCGAUAAUUCGAUCAAUGAACCAAGUUACCCUGGGGAUAACAGCGCAAUCUACUUCAAGAGCCCUUAUCGACAAGUGGGUUUACGACCUCGAUGUUGGAUCAGGGUAUCCUAGUGGUGCAACCGCUACUAAUGGUUCGUUUGUUCAACGAUUAAAACCCU